rnacentral:tRNA from 1 species
GGAUUGUGGCUCAGUAGUAGAGUGCUUGCCUAGCACAUGGGAGGCCCUGGGUUCGAUCCUCAGUACCA